AAGUUACAGUACUUUAUAGAUAUUUUUCUGUUGAAGUUUACUUGUUUAUUCUCAUCUCUUUUUCCUAAAUCUUUUUAGUAUUGGAUUUUUGUUUUAUAAGUUAUCACUUCUUAAUUUAGGGUCCCGCCGGUCAGUAGUGUAUACAUGCAAGCCCAAAACUAGUGUUCCUUAGUGUGGUGUUUCCAUUUUCCCUCCAAUUAAAUAAAGAACACCUUGGGUAGUGUAAGAGAGAGGGACAAUUGGUGCGGUGGGGUAAGGUAAUAAUAGGUUGGGCAAUAGCGCUGCACGUUGGAGCUGGUGACAUACCCAUGGAUCUGCCCCCCGAUCUUUGUGAGCCCAGAGAAGCCUGUCUUCGCCAUUGCUUGUAGAAGGGCAUCGAUACACUCAAGGCCCACAAAUCCCCUUUGGAUGUUGUCGAACUCGUGGUACCGUUAUUACGGUACACAUUUUUGCGGGUGGGCUUAGCGCUCGAAAAAGCUAUUUCAAAAUCUUUGGUGCUCUUUCGAACUUUGUUUUAAAAGAGUCGCCACCUAAUUUUAAUGAAAUUAGGAAAACCGGUGGUGAAGGGUUUAUUCAAAUACAAUGAAAAAUCCUUCGUAAUUCAGAGUUCUAGGUAAGGGUUCUGGUGAUCCCCUAGGGAAGGUGUUAGGCACCCCAGUAUUAAGGAUCCGUAAAAUAUAGUUGACCUUCGAGCUUCAAUGUGUGAUUAUGUAUAAAUUGCUUAUGUUUUAUUUAGUUUCCCGUAUAAAAAUAUACUGUCGUGGCAUAUCAUUUUGGCUUUAAAAGAAUUAAAGAAUUUCCCUUUAAGUAAGGGUAGUUCAAGUUCGGAUUAAAACAUCCGUGAUAAAAUAGUUUGUCCUUUUACUUAUGAGGAUAGUAUACUGGGUAUAUCCUAUUUAAAACUAAUGCCAUGUGUUUGUAUAUAAGAAGAAAUAUAUAUAUAUAUAUAUAUAUAUAUAUCUGUAUAGCCUUAAUUUAAUUUGUACAUUAUCCGCAUUUUAUCACUCCAGUCAACCAUAUCCUCAGAACUACUUUCUCAAACUCGAGUUUGAAAGAAAUUUCAAUUAUUUGAAUUCAUUAAGUAGGCGUUUGGACAUGCGAUUUCAUCUCAUGAGAUGAAAUCAACGUUUGGACAUGCGAUUUCAUCUCUGAUUUCAUCUCAUGAGAUGAAAUCCCAAAGCAUCCAGAAAGGCAUGAUUUGGGAUUUGAAAUCAUGAUUUCAAAAAGUAUAAAUAUAAAAUUUAACCCAUACGUUUACAUUUUGUAAAAAAAGACCCAUAAGUUGGUAGAUAUAUUUACCAAUCAUGUUUACCAACCAUAAGUUGGUAGAUAUAUUGUUCGUAUCAUGUGAGAGGAUUAUAUUAAAGAGUAGUUACAUUACUAUUCGUGUUAAAUUUUCCUUUUUAUUAAACUAAAGUUUGAUCAACUGAUGUUGUAUUUUUUAGAAAGGCCUUCUAGUAGCAUAUUAAUUUUAUUAUGAACUAUGAUUUACUUAUUUGGUAAGAUUUUAUGAGAAUUGGAAUUUUUUUGAUGGUUUUCUCAACUUAUGGGGUUUUUAUGUUUAUAAAAAAACUGCAACUUAAGAAAUUCAAAUGCAUGUCCAAACAUGAUUUCAUCUCACGAUUUCAUCUCAUGAGAUGAAAUCAUGUCCAAACGGCUCCUAACUCGGGUCUAGCCCAAAUGUUUCUUUUACUUUCUUUUCUCAGAUUUCUCAAAUUAAAAUACACUUUUAAAGAGGUAUUAAAAAAUAAUCAACUUUUUGCAAGAAAAAUAUACUUUCACUUUUAUUUAUUUUAAUCAAGUGGGAUACAACUCUUUUAUCGUUGGGAUAAAGUUUUGAAACAUCGUUUACCCAAAUCAUAGGUUAUAACCAUAGGUUCUAACCUGUAGGGGUUCCAAUAUCUAUAUCAAUGUAUUUGCAUAUCAUACAAAAAAUAAUGUAUAAUUAUGAGCCCGUUUGGAUUGGCUUAUAAGUUGUUUUCAGCUUUUUUGAGUAUUUGGCUGGCCAGCUUAUACGCCAUUUUGUGCUUAAAAUAAGCCAAAAAAAUAAUUGGGCCCGUUUGGCUUAGCUUAUCUAAAGCAGUUUAUAAGCUGAAAACAACUUAUAAGCCAAAAAAAUAAGUUGGGCUACCCCAACGUUUUUUUUUUGGCUUAUAAGUUGAUUUUUUUGGCGUAUAAGCUGUUUUCAGCUUAUAAGCCGCUUUUUUUAAGCCCAUCCAAACAGGCUCUAUAUUACAAGAAGGGGAAGAAAAGUUUAGCUUUUUGAGGCCUUGAGCCCAAAUCAUUCAGCAGUCUUGUUCUCGUUCUUCUAUACUCCUUCAUUCGAACUGUUCGGCCUUCAACUUUACUUCACUUCGUCUUUGGUAGAAUCUCAUCUCACGGACCCAUAUUGAUUAGAUGUACCUCGCACGAAUUGUUACACCUUGAAAAUGUUAUACCCCGUACAUUUAUACGACGAAUUAUCCGCAAGCAAAUCGACUCAAGUUAAAGGCGAAAUUAUUUUCGGACAUGAAAUAAGUGCUUUUAAUUUUCAACUUUGAUUAUCACAAAAAUUGCUUAUAAAUUUUAUUUAGCAUAAAAAUAUUAAUAUUGGAGAUUAGGAAUUAAUUUAAUUAUCGAAAGUGGGCCCCACGACACGUGGCGAGAUUUGGUUGGCCUUGAAUAAAGAUGGACACAUGUCAUGAAAAUUUGACACAUGUCCACUUUGUAAAGAUUAUAUAAAUGAGCAUAAGUGGAUGACUACACUACAAUUAAUCUUGCAAAUUAGGUUUUAGAGAGAGGGGCUCUCAAGCCUAGAGAGAGAGGGGUUCGGGGCACUGUUCACGGCCACUGUUCACGCCCAGCCCAUUUUUGCCCCCUUCUACACAAUUAAUUGGAGAGAUUUGAAGAUCAAGAGGAGGAAAAAGAUGGAGCUCAUGGUAGCCAUGGCAACUCACGGCCAUGGCUUUCUUGAAGGCAUUUCAUGGUGAAAAAUUAGAGCUUGUCUCUAAGACCUUGGGGAGCCCGAGGCGUAGAUUUGGAUUAGCUUUAGAUUGGCUAUCUUGGAAGUGCGUUCGAGGUACAUACGACAGGUUCGCUGAUCCGCUCGCUUAGGAUCUUAUUUUGCUAUUCUGAGGCGCUCUCUUAUCCGGAGCCUAUAUUUUUUGGUACAGUCUCCUGCUAUUGUAUAAAUGUACGUCACUCAGGGGUACGACGGGGCCCUGUCCCGUCAUAUGAUUCUGUCGGUCUGUUUAGAGGUCUGUGGACAUGUUUGUGGGUUGGGGGUCUUCCUGUAUGAAUGCGUGUAUAUGUUGUGUUUGGGCGAUCCCAUUCGCCGCGGCGGCCGGUCCGCAUAUGUUUAAAUGUUGCUUUGUUGGCCUUGGGUGGUCAUUGUUGGUAUUAUCUGUGCGCAGGGUUAAUUUGGAUAGACUGUAAAACAAAGGAAAUUCUGCCGAAAUUUUUCUGGAAAUUAUCUAAAUUUGAAAUAUAGCCUUGUCGGCUUCUGCUAUA